GAUGAACGCUAGCUACAGGCUUAACACAUGCAAGUCGAGGGGCAGCACUAGGUAGCAAUAUUGAGGUGGCGACCGGCGCACGGGUGCGUAACGCGUAUCCAACCUUCCCGAUACUCUUGGAUAGCCUUCCGAAAGGGAGAUUAAUACAAGAUGGUGUUUCAAUUCCGCAUGUUAUUGAAACUAAAGAUUUAUCGGUAUCGGAUGGGGAUGCGUGACAUUAGAUAGUAGGCGGGGUAACGGCCCACCUAGUCUACGAUGUCUAGGGGUUCUGAGAGGAAGGUCCCCCACACUGGAACUGAGACACGGUCCAGACUCCUACGGGAGGCAGCAGUGAGGAAUAUUGGUCAAUGGUCGGAAGACUGAACCAGCCAAGUAGCGUGAAGGAUGAAGGUUCUAUGGAUUGUAAACUUCUUUUAUACGGGAAUAAAACACCUUACGUGUAGGGUCUUGUAUGUACCGUAUGAAUAAGCAUCGGCUAACUCCGUGCCAGCCGCCGCUGUAAGAC
rnacentral:rRNA from 1 species